rnacentral:rRNA from 1 species
CAGCAGCCACGGGAAUACGUAGGGUGCAAGCGUUGUCCGGAAUUAUUGGGCGUAAAGAGCUCGUAGGCGGUUUGUCGCGUCUGCUGUGAAAUCCCGAGGCUCAACCUCGGGCUUGCAGUGGGUACGGGCAGACUAGAGUGCGGUAGGGGAGAUUGGAAUUCCUGGUGUAGCGGUGGAAUGCGCAGAUAUCAGGAGGAACACCGAUGGCGAAGGCAGAUCUCUGGGCCGUAACUGACGCUGAGGAGCGAAAGCGUGGGGAGCGAACAGGAUUAGAUACCCCGUAGUCCCUGUCUCUUAUACA